ACCACCGGAGCAGCUGCCCCCUCGCCCAGGAAUAGAUGGACAGACGAACAUACAAUAACCCAGGAGACCUUCAUGGGAUAUACAUUUAGAUAUUCUGAUCUAUUCCCUCCACUGAAGCAUUUCAAGAAUGCUGUCUCUCUCUGCAUGGGAUCCGUCGUUUCAGGCGGGCAGCUGUUUCCACCGACAGCUGCAUCCCCAGCCCUUCCAACAGAGCAGAGAUUACGAAAUCAAGCCAAUGUUGUAUUUCAGUUUAUCCAUUCUCCUUCUCCUUCUCCUGCUCCUAAACAGGCCAAUCGGGGAGCAGCCAUGUCGUGUUGGAGGCCAACAGCACUACGAUGGAAAGAAGAUACAGGGCCAACCCAUGUAAUCUCAGUGGCACAGAAUUUUUUCCAUAUCUUCUCCCGGGAGGCAUGUGGACUCGUAAAGCCCGGCUGGCGACACCGUGGCAUCCAGCAGAGGUUUGACACUUAGCUCCAGCUAUGCCUUCUAUGUGGAGAUACACGGCACACACGCGCCCGGGCUCUGGCCCAGUGUGUAACGACGCAACAAGGAUGCCACUAUAGCAAGCAUCGAAAAAUAUAAAUGAAUUUGUAUGAAGACACACACAUACACUUUCGUACCUCGCGAUGACUCACUCACUCACUCACUUACAUUAAACACACAUACACAUGCACACAAGCACUCAUUCAUUCACAUGCACACAAGCACACACACGUUAAAGUCAACGUAA
ensembl:lncRNA